ACUUGGUGUUCCAAUCCAGUUCCAACAACGCAUUUUUCGGACUGAAAAAGCGGAACUGCUUGAAAGGAAUAUCCCUUUUGCUAACUGUUUUUUUGGUUACUAUGUUUUUAAGAUAACUAUGUCCUUACUUAUUAAAAAAGGUUAUACAAAAUCGAAGAAAUUACAUGAUUGUUUUUAAAUUAUAACUAAAUGCCCACUCUUUUUUGAAAUCAUGUUACAUAAUGUUAAAUUGAUAAGUAUAAACUUAACGCCCACUGUUCUUCUUCUUUUUUGUAUUCUUCCCACAAAUAAAGUAAUGGAAACAUUUUUUCAUUCAAUUUCCUAAAUGUUCUAGUUUCUUCACUGUUUUCUCUUUCCAAUUAUGUUAUAUUUUUAUCUCCCAAUCAUAUUGUCAUCAUUUUUUCGUUCUCAACAUCCAAUCAUUCUCAUCCAUGAUGGGUCACAGUUAUAUGGUGAAGAAAUGAUGAUAAUUCCAGAAUUCUCACCCUUUCUUAGUUCCUUUCUUCUACCUUGACAUCUGCAUUCUGAUUAUUUCUCCUUCGUAUAUGCAUGAUGUUGUAGAUGUUUUUCUUUGUUUAUUUAUCAUCUUUUACUUUUAAAAAAUUUUGUUCUAUUUGGAAUUGGUCAAACUAACUAACAAAUUGUGAGAUUCUUGGGAACAGGUUCAUGGAAGAUGAUGCAUGUUUACUCCGUUAAUUUCUUCAUAUCUUUUUCGGAUUAAAUGCAUGAAAUCCUUAUAUUUUGGUCGAAGAAUGAAAUCUCGUUGCAUUUUAAGAAGUUGAGUGUUAAAUAAUAGUCACUAUAUCAAACGGACUCAUCUAAUGGGAAGAUUUCUUUUCAGAAGCUUUAAGUCAAAUGGUUGGAUAUACACGAAGAAGAGUAAGAGACUAAGGAAUAUGAUUUAAUCUAUGUUUGAGGCAGUUGAUGUUGCUCAUCCUAAGAUGUGUAGUCCACCAUCUGGACAGUUUGUGGUGUAUAUGUCAUGUUGGAAAACUAUUUCCAACCUAAGCUAGAGGGUUAUUAAUGAAGCAAUGACUUUUAUUUUGUUGUAGUCCUUUAUUCUCUAUCCCUUCUGCUAUAAAACAUGUUACUAUUUGGUUUUACAGUCUUGAACCUACAACAAAGGUUAAUGAAACAUUGCCUCAUGAUCUUACCUAUUAAGCAAGGAUGUAUUAGACAAAGUUCAUGAUAGAAUCCUUAUAGUUCUUUAAGU